ACUCCUACGGGAGGCAGCAGUGGGGAAUAUUGCACAAUGGGGGAAACCCUGAUGCAGCCAUGCCGCGUGUGUGAAGAAGGCCUUCGGGUUGUAAAGCACUUUCAGUAGGGAGGAAGGUAGUGUAGUUAACACCUGCAUAUUGAUCGUAUCCUACAGAAGAAGCACCGGCUAACUCCGUGCCAGCAGCCGCGGUAAUACGGAGGGUGCGAGCGUUAAUCGGAAUUACUGGGCGUAAAGCGCAUGCAGGCGGCCUGUUAAGUCAGAUGUGAAAGCCCGGGGCUUAACCUCGGAAUUGCAUUUGAAAACUGGCAGUCGUAUGAGUCUUGUAGAGGGGGGUAGAAUUUCAGGUGUAGCGGUGAAAUGCGUAGAGAUCUGAAGGAAUACCAGUGGCGAAGGCGGCCCCCUGGACAAAGACUGACGCUCAGAUGCGAAAGCGUGGGGAGCAAACAGGAUUAGAUACCCUGGUAGCGUCGUCU
rnacentral:rRNA from 1 species